rnacentral:rRNA from 1 species
UACGGAAGGGGCAAGCGUUGUUCGGAAUCAUUGGCGUAAAGGGCGCGUAGGUGGUUCUGUAUGUCUACCGUGAAAGCGUACGGCUCAACCGUAUUUUGUCGGUAGAAACUGCAGGACUUGAGGCUGGGAGGGGCUGGUGGAAUUCCCUGUGUAGCGGUGAAAUGCGUAGAGAUGGGGGAGAACACUCGUGGCGAAGGCGGCCAGCUAGACCAGUUCUGACACUGAGGCGCGACAGCGUGGGGAGCAAACAGG